UACGUAGGGGGCAAGCGUUGUCCGGAAUCAUUGGGCGUAAAGAGCGUGUAGGCGGCCCGGUCAGUCCGCCGUGAAAGUCCAGGGCUCAACCCUGGAAUGCCGGUGGAUACUGCCGGGCUGGAGUCCGGAAGAGGCGAGUGGAAUUCCUGGUGUAGCGGUGAAAUGCGCAGAUAUCAGGAGGAACACCAAUGGCGAAGGCAGCUCGCUGGGACGGUACUGACGCUGCGACGCGAAAGCGUGGGGAGCAAACAGG
rnacentral:rRNA from 1 species